rnacentral:rRNA from 1 species
GAUGAACGCUGGCGGCGUGCCUGAUACAUGCAAGUCGAACGAACGAGUAGUAAUACUGGUUAGUGGCGAACGGGUGAGUAACGCGUUGGUGACCUGCCCCAAAGCGGGGGAUAACAGCUCGAAAGGGCUGCUAAUACCCCAUGUGCUUAGAAGAAUCAGAACAUUCUAAGUAAAGGGAGAAAUCUCACUUUGGGAGGGGCCUGCGUCCCAUCAGCUAGUUGGUAGGGUAACAGCCUACCAAGGCGAAGACGGGUAGGGGGCCUGAGAGGGUGACCCCCCACACUGGCACUGAAACACGGGCCAGACACCUACGGGUGGCAGCAGUAGGGAAUAUUGCACAAUGGACGCAAGUCUGAUGCAGCAACGCCGCGUGUGCGAAGAAGGCCUUCGGGUUGUAAAGCACUUUUCGGGGAGAUGAGGAAGGACAGUAUCCCCGGAAUAAGGAUCGGCUAACUACGUGCCAGCAGCCGCGGUAAAACGUAGGAUCCGAGCGUUAUCCG